UUGUAAGCUGAAAAUUCAAGAACGAUGAAUACAUUGAGACAACCAAGAAUGAGAGAAAUAAACGAGGGUUGCGUAAUUGGGAGUUACAAUUGAGAUUUUGAAGGACGGAAUUGAGGUUUAAUUUCUUGUUGUACGCAUAAGAGGGAUUCUUAUAGAAAUUCGACCGAGUCCCCAUUGAUCCUUUUCUAUAACUUCACACUGCAAUCGGUUUUUUCCUGUAAACAGAAUUUAAAAUAGGGAAAAGCCAAUUACCAUCUGGACUUGAGCUCCGCAAUCAUGGGAGGUCACGGCGGUCUGAACAUCCUCCCGCAGAAGAAGUGGAAUGUCUACAACUUCGAUAACCGGGAGAAAGUCCGUCUCGACGAGGAAGCCGCCGCCAAGGAGGAGCAGUUGAAGCGCGAGCAAUCCCGCAAGCGCGACACCGAGCUUCGCCUCGACCAGCUCCGUCAGGCUCGCGGCCUAGCCACCCGAGGCCCGUCCCAAGCCGAGGAUAAGCCGUCCUCCAGCGCUGCUGAGCCUGCACCUGUUGCGGCUGUAUCUGCUGCCGAGCCCUUGAAUUCGGACUCAGAUUCCAAGCACAUCAACCUGUUUGAAGGGAUCAGGAUUUUCGACCCGAUUAAACCCGGCGAUGAGAAAAGAAGUGAAAAGAGAAGCAGAUUUGCGAGGGAUGAUGAAAAGAAUAAGAGGAUGAAGAAAGAGGAGGUUAGGGUGGUGGGGCCCGAGGAUGAGAAGUAUAAAUUAGGGUAUGGGGUUGCGGGGAAAGGCGUGAAAUUGCCAUGGUAUAUGGAGAAGAGAGUUGCUGAUGGGAACGUUGAUGACGAAGACGAUGAUGAGGAACACAAUGAUUUGAAGCGGAAGGAGAAGAGGAGGAGUAGUGGUGGUGGUAAGAAGACCUUGGAGGAGUUGAGGGAGGAGAGAUUGAAGAGAGAGAGGAAGGAGAAGGAGAGAGAAAGGGCUUUGUUGAUGAUGAAGCAUAAGAAAGAUGGGGGUUUUUCUUCCCGGAGGAGAUGAGUUCCAGGUUAUAGCUGUCGAUGCAAAUCUGGGGUGUGCUCACUGCCGACACAGAGUGACGCAGAUUAUCUCAAAGAUGGCAGGAUCCAAGAAAUUCACAAUCGACAUCUGCAUAAAACAAGUUAUUGUAAAGGGAGAAGUGCGAUUCAGUUACAAAGCAGGCAGCGAAGAUGUUGGACAGAAGAAGCCUUCAACCACGAGAUGUGUGCUCGAGUUCUUGGUUCGAUCAUUUGGCAUCGUCCGAACAAUGAGCCGUUGCUGGUGGGGAGAAAGUUUAGAGCACGAAAGUGCAGCAUGAUAAUUUAUGGUUUGCAUAUCAUAGUCCUCUCUGCCUAUCAUAAUUCUCAUCAUUCAUACUCAAAAACGCUCUUUUCCUCCCUUCUAUUGUUAUUUUCAGCCUUUACAUCAACGUUUGAAUGACUGUGUUGUGUGUGUGUUGUCUCAAACUUGAGAAUUCUUUUUGCUUGCUUUUCUCUCUAAAAUCUAUAUUAAAAUACA